AUUCUGGUGGAUGGAGGCCAAUGCAGAAAAGUAGUCCAAAUAUCCCCCCUCUGGGAGUGAGUGGGAAUUCCUUUUAUGACCUGGUCAAGGCAACAGACACCCUCAAACUGUGGAAGACUCCUACCACUCAUCCACACAUGUUCACCCACUGAGGUUUGUAUCAUCAGGAAGGAGUAAGCACUCUUGGAACUUUUUUUCUGGGUAUUCUCUCCAGUGCCCUUCCUUGACCCUCUCCUCUCCACUGGUCCAGCCCAGCUCUUCUCUACCCUCAGCCACUAGGAAAUAGUUGUAUCCUUCAAAGGGAGGGGAAAGACCAAGCUGGAGAUAAAUGUAUGCCCUGGGGCCCCUAUCUCUCCCUCUUCCCCAACCAGGAGAACAUUGGCAUCAUGAAACUGAUAUGGAUUCACCCAGUACUAGAGAUCUUUCUAGGUGCAGCCGUGUGGGGGGGGUGGGGGGGCGCUGUUGGUGCUGCUAAUAGGUUGGUCACGAGGUAGCCAGAUGUUUUCAGAAGAUCCAGAAUGGAGCCCCAGGACCAAAGACACACUGAAUCCCAACUUGGAGAAGUUCCCAUGGCAUGUUCAGGUUUCAGUCCUCCUGGACGGAAAAUCCACCCAAGACUUCCCAUUCCUGCUCAACCACCCAGACAAGUGCAGAGUUUCUGGGGGGGCACCCUUCUUGCUGAUGUUGGUGAUGACUCGGCCCCAGGACCAAUUUCUGAGGGAAGCCAUCCGACACACAUGGGGGAAUGAAACCACCAUACCUGGCGUGAUCAUCCAAUGCCUCUUCGUAAUGGGCUUGUCCUCUGACCCAUCUUCCCCCCACCCACUAGAAGAGGAUGAAAAGCACAAGGAUCUCCUCCAACUGGGUUUCCUAGAUACCCACCACAACCAGGCUCUCAAAACCUUUAUGGGACUGGAAUGGGUGGCCCGAUACUGCCCCGGGACCCAUUACGUGCUCAAGGUGGAUGGAAACGUUGUCCUGAACCCCCGUUUUCUGGUGCAGCAGACACUGGUCUGGGAAACAUCCCCGGCCAGACUUCAUCACUAGCUGUAUCUACAGAAACAGAAGCCCCUUUCAAAGACAGUCCCAUCCUCAGUACUUGCCUCUAGACAUGCUCUCCCAUGCCAGGUACCCACCUCACUGCUGCAGCCCUGCUUAUGUGCUAUCUGGACUCCUGGCCCUUAAGGGGCCUCUAUUGCCUGGAGAGUACCAGCUGUCCACCUGGAAGAUGUGUUUGUGGGGUUAUGCCUGCAUCAUCUAGGGGUGGAGCCCAUUCUCAGUCCCAACAUCUUCCCAAUAUUUGGCUGAGCAUACAAACGCUGUGACUUCCAUGGCUUUGCCAUCGUCCAUCCCUUCAAACACCAGCAACUUGUACAGGUCUGGUCUGACUUCCAGAAAGGCACCUGCCCACUGGAAUAAAGAGCUGGACCCUAAAUCAAUUUCUUCCUUUUCCAGCAGGCAUUUUCUAUACUGAAAAUUGAUUCUUGAUUCCUCCUCACCACCCCACUCUUGCAAGUCAGACUGAACCAUGAACCUCUUCAUCCUCCCCAUCUCAUUGCCCAGACUUGAAUAUCUCUAUUAAAAGGUGCUGACAGAAACAUCCUCACCCCGAGGAAAAGGGGAGAAAGAACAAAGGAGAGGAGGAUGGGGAGGUCUAGAAGGAAAACAGCCUGGUAUAAAGGGCUCUGACCCCUUGAGGUGGGAGACGUGGGUUUGAAUUUUAGCCCAGUCAGCAAUUUACUGUGCAUUAUUAGUGACCAUGUCAGCAUCCUGGAUAUUUCCCCAUUUGUAAAAGGAGGGCGUUGAACCAAAUGAUCUCCAAGGCAGCACCUGGCUAGGAACUGAUAUUCCAGAGGUGGUAGGAUGGGCAUGGAAUAGCCCUCUCUGGCUCCACAGCUGCUUCUAGAUCCAGAGAAGACGUUUCUCUAAAUGUACAUAAAUAUUUGCCAAGAAGCUGCUACAACACUCCCACAUCCAACCCAGAAGCAUCAAUUUCCCACACACCACCAAAGUCAGUGCUUUUCAGGACUCUUGGCCAGAUUGGAGGAGGGGGAGAGGGAUGACCAAAACUUAUUCUGGGAAGACAUUUUGGUGGCCCCUCUGCUGCCCCACAGCAUUCAUGUGAACCAGUGAGACCUGCUGGCUUCAAGCCAAGGAUGAGCCUAUGGUGCUGAAAAUACUGGAACUGUGGUCAAUAAAUUCAGCAACUGCUAUUUAGUCCCUCGCGACCUUAGCCCCUUCUUUAGAUCAUUGGUCUGCCCCCUGUAAAAUCAGGUCAGGCUCAAGUAGCUCUCACGUCCUUUUCCACUAAAAAAAUUCUGAUUCUGGAAAUUUAUGAAACCUCUCCCAAA